GAAGAAAAGUCUAUACAAGAAUAGACAUACAGAGAGAAUGCCGUGUACUGACAGAGGCAGAGAUUGGAGUGAUGCAGCUGUAAACCAAGGAAUGUCAAAGAUCAACGGCCACCACCAGAAGCUGGGAAGAGUGUCAUGUGCUUCAAAAGAAGAAACCGACUCUUGGCGCAAUUCAUCGUCAUCUGUCAGCUUGAUAAAGUCAUCAAUAAAACAUCACUAACUGGGAGAAAGCAAAAUUGCCUUAUGGCCAAUUAGUUAUGUGAGGAAAAUGUUUGCUCCGAAAAUGCUUGCGGCAAAGAUGUCUAAGGCAGAACUAUCUAGAACCUUCC
rnacentral:lncRNA from 1 species